AGGGGCCACUCCCCAAGGGAGGCAGCCAGUCACUCGCCCGCCCUUCCGGGCCCACUCCCGAGGGGACGGUCUCCCGCCCGCCCUCACACACAGCUAGCUCUUCAGGCCAGGCCCCCAGGGUUUCGUCCACCUCUCACCUUUGACGACGCGAAUGAAGAAUGAGGAGGUGCUGCGAUCGAACGACUGCGAGGAAACACACCCGCUCUCAUGGCAUUCCCAGUAAACUGAGAAGACGUGAUUAAACCUCAGGAUCUCCUACUAAUAGAGAAAUGUAUAACGAUUUAGCUACCAGAUCUGAAUACUGAAGGGUUGGUAGGGGACCAGAGAAUAGAGGAAGCAUUGUAGGUUCUAGAGUGGAGAAGGGACCAUCCAAAAUGGAGUUUGAAAGAGAAUUCUGGCCUUUGUGUUUAGAGUCUGGAAUUGUCAAGAGUCUGAAAGCACAGAAUAAGACUGCAGCUAGAGCAAUUUAGGCGCCAUAGUUUGUCAAAACAGGUAAGGGGAAUAAAGGGGAUGACACCAAGAGAUGUGCAAAGAAUCUGAAGAAUUCACCUGAAAAGGAUACAACCUCCUCCUGGAAGGCAGAGGAGUAAAUAGGGAAUUGGAAAUUAAUUCCUUAUUUCUGCACAUGCACAGAAUCUGGGCCCAGGUGACUUAUGGAACCUUUAUAGAGACCACGGUGACUGACACUCAUGGGAAAGGGGGUAGAGGGGCAAGAACUGACUGUUCAUCAAAAAUUAUUAGAUGAGUGUGUCCACGACACCAGGAGAUAUGUUGAAUCAUGGACAGGGACCAGCAUAUCCACUAAGCUCUAUAUAUCUUGAUGGUGCAGGAUCCAAGUGGGAUGGAACAACCAAUUCCUGCCCAUCCUCCUGCUCAAUAAUACAUGUGCUCAGAAUCUGUUCAUAAUGCAUGGUGGUAAGUAAGUAGUAGUCCGAAGGUCCAAGGA
rnacentral:lncRNA from 10 species